UAGGGAAUCUUCGGCAAUGGGGGCAACCCUGACCGAGCAACGCCGCGUGAGUGAAGAAGGUUUUCGGAUCGUAAAGCUCUGUUGUAAGAGAAGAACGUGUGUGAGAGUGGAAAGUUCACACAGUGACGGUAACUUACCAGAAAGGGACGGCUAACUACGUGCCAGCAGCCGCGGUAAUACGUAGGUCCCGAGCGUUGUCCGGAUUUAUUGGGCGUAAAGCGAGCGCAGGCGGUUUAAUAAGUCUGAAGUUAAAGGCAGUGGCUUAACCAUUGUUCGCUUUGGAAAAUGUGAAACUUGAGUGCAGAAGGGGAGAGUGGAAUUCCAUGUGUAGCGGUGAAAUGCGUAGAUAUAUGGAGGAACACCGGUGGCGAAAGCGGCUCUCUGGGCUGUAACUGACGCUGAGGCUCGAAAGCGUGGGGAGCAAACAGG
rnacentral:rRNA from 1 species